UACAGAGGUCCCGAGCGUUGUUCGGAUUCACUGGGCGUAAAGAGUGCGUAGGUGGUGCCCUAAGUCUGUUGUGAAAUCUCCCGGCUUAACUGGGAGGGUGCGGUGGAAACUGGGGUGCUUGAGUGUGGGAGAGGUAAGCGGAAUUCCUGGUGUAGCGGUGAAAUGCGUAGAUAUCAGGAGGAACACCGGUGGUGUAGACGGCUUACUGGACCACGACUGACACUGAGGCACGAAAGCGUGGGUAGCAAACAGG
rnacentral:rRNA from 1 species